AGUUCAAGAAACAAGAAUCACAAUCAAAAUCCUUCUCUCUCUCCAUCUAAUUCAUGGCUGAAAACAGCCCUUUUCCUUCUUGAUUUUCGAAAUUCAAAGCCCCAUUCUUGAAGGUCCAAGUCUUUCCAAGCAAGUUUCAAGCUAGUGUGAAGAUCCAUAGGUGGUUUGGAGGUGUUUCAAGCAAGAACCAAGCUCCAUAUCAUCACACUUUGUCAAGAAACCCAUCAAAAUCUUGUAGAUACUUGUACACGAGCAUGCAUGAUGAUAUGUGAUCUUAUAAAGGUACUUGAGUUCGGCUUCGGGAAUUAUGGCGUAUCUUGUGGUUGUUGAUGCAUGUUUUGUUACUUAAAUAUGUUGGACUAAUUUAAAACUUUCUGGGACAAAUGUAAUAAGAUCCGUAAGGAUCAAAGACAAUUUAACUAUGUCGUGGUUGUGUCAUAUUAUG
rnacentral:lncRNA from 1 species